rnacentral:rRNA from 1 species
UACGGAGGGUGCAAGCGUUAUCCGGAUUCACUGGGUUUAAAGGGCGCGUAGGCGGCCGAGCGGGUCGCGGGUGAAAUCCUCCAGCUUAACUGGAGAACUGCCCUCGAUACCACUGCGGCUCGAGGAAGGAAGGGGCAAUCGGAACUGUCGGUGGAGCGGUGAAAUGCGUUGAUAUCGACAGGAACGCCGGUGGCGAAAGCGGAUUGCUGGUCCUUUUCUGACGCUGAUGCGCGAAAGCCAGGGGAGCAAACGGG